CUUAGUCUACAACAGUAACAGGACUUCAGUGUCGCCAUGAUAUCAUAACGAAAAAAAGACAUCAUAUAGACAAACCGAAAUUAAAUUAAAAAAAUGUUUUAAUUGAUUUCUGGUGACAAGGGAAAAAAUACACGAUACCACAGCUGCGUCUCACUCUUUUUUUUUUCCCUAAAAAAACGCAUUCCCCAUUUCUGGGUACGACUGCUUAUAUAGCCCACUAGAAUUCCUGUUACGGGAUUUCUUUUCUUUUUUUUUUUUGGAGUCCGAAAGUAAGCAGUGCGUUUGUGACUGAAAGCGUGCGCUUGCAGACCGACCUCCAACAGCCACAUGUGUCUUUGAAGUAUUCCGCCCAUCGACAUGAAGUGAGAUCAAUUACAGAAGAACAACAGUGACAAAGAAUAUACUGCUGUACGUGGAGGCACUUUCCCACGAUCUGACCAGCCAGCUCAACGACGAGGAAUAGCCCUCCCUACUCACUCCACUCAAUACAAUAGCGCCAAAGAUGUUUUUAAAUACCAGAAAGCGGGUGAUUGGGGGUUUUACAACCUUUCUCCCCCAAAAAAUCUAUGGCGAUGGAAUGAAAAAAAAAGCUUUCUCUCCUCUCUAUUUUUUAACCCCAAAUAUAAUGUAGCUUAAAUAAUUUGUUCUUGCUAUCAGACAAAAAAAGAGAGUCCUACUAUACCGAAAGGAUUCGUUUUCCCUAGUGGUCAGCUUUCAUUGUAAACAUGAAAGUAAUAAAUAAACAAGUGCCGUUUUGGCAACCCUACUCUUUUCUAUUAAAGGCGUGACAAUUAAAAUGCACAGAUUUUGUGUGACUUUUCCUUUCGUUUCCUUUCUUGAGGAAAUGAAGUCUGGAUAGUUUUGUCCAGUCUGGAUAGCGGGAAACAGAGCUGCGAUUUGUUGAUUUGUUUCGGUGUGGACUUUAUUAGGAUAUGUCUUCUGUCUUUCCUAAAAAGAAAGUGGUUAAUUUGUCACUGGCAUCCAGUUCAUUCAUAAAAAAAAACAGCUCUGGGACCCCCAAGAAGGUGGAUCUGAGAGGAAUUUUCGGUGUUUUCAUCCCUCCUUUUCAUCGCGAGGCCACGCCCCCGCAGACAGAACGGCGUCAGGGCUGGGAGCGAAUGAAAUGAACACAAUCAAUAGUCACGGCCGCAAAUUACUGCAGGAAGUACUAAAACCAAGAUCGAUUACUCAAAAUAGUGUUUAACUUGAAGCACAGUUCACAGAGGCUUUGCGCUUUAAUAUAAACAACAGUGUAGUGGAAGCGACGCAUAUUUGUUUCUAGCAUGAAGUGCCCGCUUGCAUAUAAACAUCUAUAAUUCUGAAGCAGUCAUGCAGUUCCAUGCAGGACACACCCGAAGAAGUGUCACACACUGAAGAGCUCAUCAUCAAUGUCUCAACAACAGCAGUUACUGUCCGAGUCCAAUGGCACUUGGGCACAGUCAGAUAGAUGGGUCAGACCAUGUCCAUGUUCAUCAUCACAAGACCCUGUGCCAUUCUGAAGCUGUGAAGAAUGCAGUAGGUCCCUAAGACAAGCUUGUGGGCCAGUAUUGCCUAGGACCAGACAAGACACAAUUUCGAAAGUGGCUUAUCUUUUGUUGGAGUGUGUAGGUUAAGGAGCUGCUACUGUUAUAUGCUGUACACAGAGCCACAGAAUGUCAGAAGGUGGUUUGUUUGUAACUCCUUCUGAUUAUUCAAUCCUAAAUUUAAAUAAAAUAAUGGAGAAAUAAUUUUAUUGUGCAUAAAUACAUGAAAGAUGUAGAUUUUUUAUUGCCAGAUUGUUUUUCAUUGUACUACUAACCAUACUAACCACAACAUAAUUUCACUUUAAUGUUUUCACUGUACUACAUUUGUUACUGUUCCACCUGUGGUAAGAGGAUGCCUUCCCGAUUCGUUCAAAUUUAUCAUGUCUUAUAAAUAGCAGCAUGGUCUACAUAACUGUACAUCUACUGUUACCUGUGAAGAGCUUCGCUCCAGAGAGAACUAAAAGUUAAGCUCAGACAGUUCCUUCUUCUUGUUUACUGUUGAAAACACACACAGUUUCAUCAGCUCUAAAAAAACAUUGUGAGAAACAUUGAAGAUAAAUAAAGUAAAAACAGAAAAGGUAAAUGUAAGGUUCAUAUUUCCCUUUUACUUUAAUUCCAUUCAAGCCACAUCUCUUUAUCAACAACCAUAUUAUUCUAAUUUACUUAACUUAAACAGUCGUUUUUCUGAGGGUACAUUCAUUGCUCAGCCUAAUUGCUCAGUGGCUUUUGACCUCAAAUAAGAUUAUGUGUGAGACAUAGCUUCACUGUGAAUCUUUCUUGAAUAAAAAUCUUUUACUAGUGAAUCAGUAAUCAGAGUGGCCCCGAACACAGCACACUGCAACUCUGUUUUAGAUAGGCUAUACAGGAUUCCAUAGUAAACAAGGAAUUAAAGAAUGUGAUAGUUUAGCUGCUACCGUUUAAAGGUAUGCACCAGAUUAUUACAAACACGCAUUCUUCGUGAUAUUGUUAGAGUCCUUAAGAAAUUGAUAAAUACAAAAUAUUAACUGUAUAUUAAAUUAUAUUUGAUCAUUUUUACAUUUGCACAUGGAUACAGGCAUAUAUUUCUUACAGGAAUUAUAUGGAAAUAAGUAUCUUAAAGUUCAUGUGUUCACAUGAUAAUUCUGAACUCAUAGAAGGUUCAAAGAUUAUGCUUCUUGUGUCAUCACUUAUAUUUACCUGCCUUUCCUCAGCAUACCGUAUUGAGCAAAAGGGCAUGGCCUGCUUCUACCAUGGGCAUGGGCCCUCACAAAUAAUGUGACAUACUUCAUUCCUGGCCAUUUCCACUGCUGUGGACAGGAGAGAUCAUUUCUGUGAACAUACUGUACACAAAUAAUUUGUUAGGACAAUAUUUAUCACAGAUGUAAUAGGAAAAAUGAUUAUAAGGCCACAGUCUAUCCAUUAAUUCAUCUGGACUGUACUCUGAAAUGCAUUGUAGCUUUGUAUCACUAACUGCAUAUAAUGAGAAAUAAAAUGUUAAAUAUGU